rnacentral:lncRNA from 1 species
AUUUUGAUAUUUAUAAUUAAUUUUAGUGCAAAAUUCAUGUGCAGGUGCUAUUCUGAAACUAAUUCGAGAAAGUGCUAUUUCUGUCAAUAGAUUCGGUGACACUUAUCAAUACAUAGAAAUCGGUGCCAGAUUACAAUACUCUGAGAUUUUAGCGCUGUUUUUGUCAGACCUUUAAUUUCUCAGAUUUUAUAAGUUUGAAUAAAACUAAAUGAUAAAUAUUGGAGUCUAGUUAUUGGAUUAAAUCAUGCAUAUGGGUUGUAUGAGUAGAAGGCAAUGAUUUUAAGAAAGUAUUGAGUAAUCUAAGAAAGCAUCGAGUAAUCUAAUGGUUGCCAAUAAUCAAAGAGAAAAUAAGUUAGAGAAAUAGAGAUGCAAGAAUAAACAUAGAAAUUGAGGAUUUACACGGUGGAUUUACAUUAAUUUAAUUAUCAUGUUUUAAUUUGAGUAAUUAUAAUAUUAUUUCAGGUAGUGACGUAAAAGAUUGGAAAGUCUCUUCAAUAUAACCAAAUGUUUAUCCAUAGAUCUAGGAGUGGAAAAAACUUUAAUAUUUUCAAAAUAUUUAUAAAUUAAGUAUAUUAUUAAAUUAUGUGCAACUAUGUAAAUUAUUUGUUCAAUAAUGUGAUUACCAUGAAAGUUUCUUUUACUGUGAUACAUGCGAAAUUUCAAAGAUCAUAUAUAGUACAUUUGUGAAUUGGAAUAUGAGACAUGAUAAUGAGAUUGAUCAGAAAAGUAUCCAUGAUUAUAUACUUCUUCUAGUUCAUCGGGGGGUCUUGGCCGUGUUUUAUACUACAUUGAGGGGUCUUGGACCGCUGAUGAAGGGAUCUUGACCGUGUACAUAUAGUUCACUGAGGGGCAUUGAUUGUAUUCUAGAAUUGAUUAUCAGAUGUCUUCGAGAUCCGCUUUUGUUCAUGAAGGAGGCCAAAGCUCGUGGCGAAAAUGCUUAGCUCAAGGGGCGGAUUGCAGAUUUUAGUUAAAGGAUACAUUUUUUGUGGACUAUGUGUAAUGUGAUUAGAUGAUAAUAUGGAUUUGAGUUGAUGAAUAUAUCAUUACUAUGAGGUGAUAUCUUUUAGCAUUAUGAGAUGUCUCAUAUCUUGAUUAUUAUUACCUGUUGCUAUACUUUGAACUGCAAAAUAAUAUGAAUUCAAUUUUUGAUAGAUAUGUAUAAAUGAGAAAGGACAACUAUUUUUGAAAAUUUUCACUCAUUGAGCUAUCAAGUCAUAUAUUUUUCCACGUUUUUUCUUUCCAGGUAGCAAUCGAGUUUGGGGAGCUUUGAAGAGCCUGUUGAUUUAGUAGUCAUCGCCACAUGAUCAUUUCGUUGAGUUAAGCAUUAAAAAAAAAAAAUUAUCUCAAGCCCAUUGCAUUAUUCAUUUUUCAUAAGUAUCUUAUUUUGGAUCAUAAUUAGUAGUGACUCAUAGUUAGCAUUGGUGAUGGAUUUGACAUAUAGUUAGUGUAUAUCAUUGGUACACGUCACAUUUCGGGUUCACUCGAAUGAUUCGGGACAGG